AUUUAUACAAAAAUACAUUUAUUCCCAGACUGUAAGCUCUAUAGUGCAUAUAUCCCCAAAAGUAACAGAUCCAUAUGUAUGGCACCAGGAAACUUCCCAGUGGGCGCCCCAGCAGGUCGGCGCCCCAGACAAAUGCCUUAUUCGCCUUAUGGUAGCGCCGACCCUGACUGCACCCCAUAUUAUACAACUGGGUUCAAUCCAGUCAUUCAUUGUAACAUAACCUGUAAAAUCUAAG